rnacentral:rRNA from 1 species
AGUGAACGCUGGCGGUAGGCCUAACACAUGCAAGUCGAACGGCAGCACAGUAAUGGCUUGCUCUUACGGGUGGCGAGUUGCGGAUGGGUGAGGAAUACAUCGGUAUCUACUUUGUCGUGGGGGAUAACGUAGGGGAACUUACGCUAAUACGGCAUACGAUCUACGGUUGAAAGCAGGGGAUCUUCGGACCUUGCGCGAUAGAAUGAGCCGAUGUCGGAUUAGCUAGUUGGCGGGGUAAAGGCCCACCAAGGCGACGAUCCGUAGCUGGUCUGAGAGGAUGAUCAGCCACACUGGAACUGAGACACGGUCCAGACUCCUACGGGAGGCAGCAGUGGGGAAUAUUGGACAAUGGGCGCAAGCCUGAUCCAGCCAUACCGCGUGAGUGAAGAAGGACUUCGGGUUGUAAAGCCCUUUUGUUGGGAAAGAAGAGCAGCAGGUUAAUCCGCCGCUGUUCUGACGGUACCCGAAGAAUAAGCACCGGCUAACUUCGUG